AUUGAACGCUGGCGGCAGGCUUAACACAUGCAAGUCGAGCGGGGAAGGGUAGCUUGCUACCUGACCUAGCGGCGGACGGGUGAGUAAUGCUUAGGAAUCUGCCUAUUAGUGGGGGACAACAUUCCGAAAGGAAUGCUAAUACCGCAUACGCCCUACGGGGGAAAGCAGGGGAUCUUCGGACCUUGCGCUAAUAGAUGAGCCUAAGUCAGAUUAGCUAGUUGGUGGGGUAAAGGCCUACCAAGGCGACGAUCUGUAGCGGGUCUGUGAGGAUGAGCCGCAACACUGUGAGUGGGACACUGCCCAGACUCUGACGGGAGGCAGCAGUGGGGAAUAUUGGACAAUGGGCGCAAGCCUGCUCGAGCCAUGCCGCGUGUGUGAAGAAGGCCUUUUGGUUGUAAAGCACUUUAAGCGAGGAGGAGGCUACUUGGAUUAAUACUCUAGGAUAGUGGACGUUACUCGCAGAAUAAGCACCGGCUAACUCUGUGCCAGCCGCCGCAGUAAAAC
rnacentral:rRNA from 1 species